AUCAAGCUGGCGAGUCCAAAAUAGGACUAAACGCACGUCCUGGAU
rfam:Schistosoma haematobium scaffold946_13, whole genome shotgun sequence.